CUCUGUCCUGCACAUGGCGUGCUUCAUCACCUUGUGUGAGGCGUUCUCGGGGAUUGACCCCCACUAGAAUUUGUUGGAUCAGCCAACUUCCAACUCCAUUCUAGCCGGAAGGCAGGGUACUUCAAGAUCCCACUCCCCUCCUCCUUGCAGUAUGAGGGUGAGUGGUUCUACAUCAAGAACACGGCCGGCAGCGCCCCAUGCUUCACCAAUCGUGAGCCAGUUUUGACGGAUGACUGGCAUCGUGGGGCAGAGCCGGGUCUAGAAGAUGAGGUGGAGCCUCUUCUGACGGUGUUCAAGACAUUGAAGAAACAAGGUCUCACCGACAUGAGGCUUGUGCUAGUCUUCAUCCAUCGCCGAAUUUAGCAUCGGAUGGCUCGCCAGAGGCCAAUGCACAGAUUCGCUACUGGUUUGCACUUUGCCUGCCCGGCGACGAAGCCUGGUGUCGAGGACAACUUCGGGUACCUGAAGGUUGUGAGAAAGAUCAGGCAACAACGAGCUCACCGGUAUACGAGGAUGGAUCACCGCCUUGAGUUGGGAGACAUGGAAGAUUGGAUGCACCGCACUUCCAGGUGGUAACUGGAGCUCAUACGCCACUGGAUUGAUUUGCCGAAUCACUGUGUAAGGCCCAAAGAAACGAAACGACAAUUUUUGGUUGAGACGUUCAGUUACCGAGGACUGGCAAUAUGGUUGCAGCUUGA